UUACAAAUACCAGGUGCAGAUUGUUUAGAAUUCUUUCCAGCUCCCUAAAGUUUCCCAGACUGAUUCAUGGGAAAGCUUAUCUAGCGUUCUUUCUCUGACCAGAUUAUUGCAUCUUUAAAAGAAAUAAAUAAAGCAUGCUGUAGGCAGAUGGCAGCUUUGUACAGUUGAAGGACUUCUAGCAGCUGCUGGGACAUUUCUUCUUCACUCCAUUAUCUGCAGUCGAUCUUCCUGAUAAACAGGAUUGCAUCCCUUGGAAAACUUCUGUAAUCAAGAGAGACAGCAUUGCUGAGGAAUUUGGGCAUGGAGGAGGAAAUGCAUUUGUUCUGAAUGUAAAUUAAGGUGACAUGUGGGAAUGUCAAAAAAUGAAUGUCCCAGAGGCUGCAUUUGGCUUUCAGCAGGCUACAGCCUCUUUAUUGUCUGCAGCAGGCAAGCCUGAAAGGCAAGGAACCACAUGGACAAUUCAUGGAGCUAGAGAAACCUUCAGCCCUUGGGCAGACUGCAACAGGCAGGUCAGGAAGAAAGGAAACCAGCUCUUCCCAGCACAUCUGUCUCCAUUUCUGCCUAAGCAAGGAGAUGUUUAAUUAUCUCCUGCUAGAAAACAAAGGAGAAAAAGAGCCUGUCAAUAUCAGCCAGCAAAAACAGGAGCCCAAAAGACACAGGGGCAGCUUUUGCCCUCAACUCAUGAAGGAGAUCUGCAGAGACCUUUGGCACAUCAGCUGCAUCACAGCAAUUCCCAACAUCUCCACCAUCAAAGUAGCUCAGCCCCUCACUGUUGCUGAGAAGCUCCCUCUGCUAGAGCCCUUUUCAAGGAGGGCAGCAUAAAUGUGCACAUACGAAUGGUCAAUGCAGAGCUACUCGUCUGCUAGUUCACAUUUUGCUUUCCAUUUUGCUCCUUCACAUUAUGGCUUUACAGCAUCAGUAAAUCCAUACGCUUGUGCUAAAAGGCAUCACUUUAGGAAGGGCAGGAUGAAUGAACUUGUCUGUUCCAAUACUCUGGAGACAUGAGGAAUUUGAAUCUUGAAUCAGACCCGGGCAGUCAUGGAUGGAGAGAGUUUGUAAUAGGCUGUUGUUGGGAAGGCAAAUGCUAAGGUAGCCUUAAGCACUGGAAGUUAGAUCCAGUUUUGCAUUUCAGCAUGGGGGAGCUCAAAAAUUAUCUUUCAGCUAUGACAGUAUUUAUGAGCAGUAUGUGUGUUGAUUUUUUCCAGACAGUAUUUAGCUCCAGCUGGCAAAGCUGCACCCAUAAAGGGGGAACUUUGUACCCCAUGUAGGCAUGUGUUUCACUGCAAAGGGAAUCCUGAGGUGCUGAUCACCAUGCAGAUCCAUGCAGACACCUGACCCCACAGAAGCUUUACCUAGUUAUGAAUUGUGAGCAGAGCCAGGCAGCAGCCAACAAGGUAGACCUCACACUGUCAGCCCUUCUCAACAAGAGAUCCAUGCCUGGACAUUUAAUGCCUGGAUUAUGGUAUCUGGUGUCAGUGAUACCAUCUUCCUCGUCCACAGGCUCCUUCUUGGCCUGUGUCCUUACAGGGCAGCAGUCUAAUUAUUUCUUCAUUAGACUUCAAAACUCAAUUGGUAGUCUUCCCAACAUAUCUAUUAACUUGGAUCCAGAAUACUUGGGAUCUCAGUACCCAUGGAGCAAGAUAUACUCAGUUUUGCAAGACUGGCUGCACUGGCAUCCAUGAAGGCUUUUCUGUGGUGGGAAGUGCAGGACAUUUCUUGAUUUUCCAUUCAACUCACGUAAAGCUGAACAGAGAUGGAAAGGAGUUGCAAAAACCCAAGUGCCAGUGCAGCAUUUUACUACGACCCAAAAUUGUAACAGCAGCCCCUCUGCAAAGCAAGACUUCUGCUCACAGCCCUGACUAACCCUGUGAACCUCCUCCCAGCUGCACCAGGCACACAGGGAGUACAAAAAAAUGAAAAUGAAACCCCACAGCUUUCUCUCUGAUAUUAUUGUCAGGACUGGAUUUAAGUGGAUGUUGUAGAUAGGAAAGUAUCUCCUCAUCUAGAAAGAGCUCACCUGUACAUGUCCUCUUGUUUUCAUGCAGUAUGUAGCCAACCCUGCAGCUGCAAUAGUAGCCCCCUACAUAGUUGUGACAGUGAUGACUGCAGAGUGGUUUAGUAUCCAAUGGCUGUUUGCACUCAUCAAUAUCUAAUGGGCAAAACAGAGAAUCAGGCAGACAAUAGAUUACAACAAAAUGUUCUCUCAGUCUCAGCCACUCUGUGUUUUGUGAGGUUGGUCUUUGGUCACUGUGCCCCUCUGAAUCUGCUUCUGUACAAUUAGACCACCUUCUUCCACCCCACACCAGCAGCCUCAGGCUAUGAGAGCACAGGGAAGCACCAACCCCAGCAGAGCCAUGGCUCUUCCAUCUACAAGAGGGGCCAGUCUCUCACCUUCAGCAGCAUAAAAGGCCUCAAAGCCUGUGAAUGGUUUCUCAUUGGAGUAAUCAGACCGAAACACUACCGUGAGGUGGUUGUCAGCGGAGAUGUACGUUCUGUUCCCUGGAGCCUCUUCAGUGUCUGUACUGUCCCUUCCACACAGCAUAGCCAAGGUCUUCCCACCAGAGCUCAGCUGCAAAACAGACGGACAAAUCCAGCAGGUGAGCAUAGAGCAUUGAUCUUCCCAACCUGCUGCCAUGGAUGGAAAAACAUGUGUUUAACAGUGUGAGGAAGGAAGUUUGGAUGCUCUCAAAAAGUGCUUCUGGAGCUCAGUCCACAUCCAAGACCAGGACAGAAAUACUCAGGGGACAUAACACUACAGUACACACAGGCAUCAGUUUCAGAGAUACAAAGUCUUCCAGUUCUCAGCUGCAGAUUUUAUUCCAGUGCAUGCUUGUGGUGACCAAAAUCUACUCCGUGCCUUCUUCAUAAGCAUGGAUUGCUUUUUAUCCUGCCCAUCCUGGAACAGCCAUAAGGUAAAAAGUCACACUUUAAAAAAAUAAUUCUAAUUUCUUUUAAACUUUUGGGAUCCACACAGGGUUUCACACUGCCCAGGAAAUUCAACCGGGAGAACAAACACUAUGGGACAUAAAGCUUCAUUAAUUCUCCUGCAUGCAGACUGCUUUUUUCCAAAUCAGCAUUUAGGUUUCCCACAAAACUCCUACUCCACCACACUUGGAGAUAGGCCUAAUAUAUAGAGGGUGAAAACCCAGCUAUAUUAAAGCUGAGUCUAGGUCCAUCUCUUCUCAGAUGAAAAUGGACAGAAUUGGAAAACUGAUCUGCUGCAGGGAACAGACUGUUGGGUUCCACAUGCAGAAAAUUUAUCCUAAGAUACCCUGUAAUCAAAUGGACACCUUUUCAACAGCCAAAAGUCAUUACCCCAGGCAGUGAAGCUGGUGCUGGCAGGAAAGCAGGAGUUAUUACAUGA